rnacentral:lncRNA from 1 species
UUUUUCCCUCGAGAAGGGGGGAAAGGCUUGGGGUGGCGGGAUGGAGGUGAAACUCGUACAUUUUACUGGCAACUUAAAAUUAUUUUGUGCUUACAUUGGAAGGAUUGUUGAGCACACAGUACUUGCCAAGGGAUUCACUACUUCGAUGUGGCUGCACAAUGAGUUAAGCAGCUGCAUUACUUUCUAUGGAUUGGGUCAUCUUUUGGUUUUUAUGUCAUUAUAUUUUGGUUCUGAACUUCUAGUUUUUUAUUUUACUUGCCAACUACUUAGUGUUAGGCUAUAUGCUACAAUUGUUGCUUUCUAAUUUCAUCUAAUAGUAUCAUAUUACACUUUCUUUCUAUUUUAAGU